rnacentral:rRNA from 1 species
GACCUCAAAUCGGGUGAGACUACCCGCUGAACUUAAGCAUAUCAAUAAGCGGAGGAAAAGAAACUAACAAGGAUUCCCCUAGUAACUGCGAGUGAAGCGGGAAAAGCUCAAAUUUAAAAUCUGGCGGUCUUUGGCCGUCCGAGUUGUAAUUUAGAGAAGCGUCUUCCGCGCCGGACCGUGCACAAGUCUCCUGGAAUGGAGCGUCAUAGAGGGUGAGAAUCCCGUCUUUGGCACGGAUGCCCGGUGCUUCUGUGAUGCGCUCUCGAAGAGUCGAGUUGUUUGGGAAUGCAGCUCAAAAUGGGGUGGUGAACUCCAUCUAAAGCUAAUUAUUGGGC